rnacentral:lncRNA from 1 species
CUGUAAAAUGGUGAUACCAAUAAUCAGUAACUCUGUGAGCUAUAACUCUGACUUUACUAAACAUUUUCCUCAUUUGCAGAAACUAUUUGCUUGGCUGUCCUUUUUCCAGUAGUCUAGAAAAAGACCAUAUUUUCAUAGAUAACAAAAUUUUGGUAAAUUGAAAUCAAUGGCGUUUGAAUGAGAUUGGUUUUAACAAUACCGGCCACCUCUGCUUUUCACAGUUUCUAAUUCACCCUCUGUGCGCUGCUGCACCGCCUCACAAACCACAGCAUCUCUGUGGCUUUUAUAGCCCCAACUUGCUCAGCAUUUUAUCAAAGCAGUUCGCCUGCCACCUAGUGGGAAAAGGUGGGAGUGUAUGAUUAUCAUUUAUUUAGGUAAACUGGCUAGCUUUAAGCU